UUCCUACGGGGGGCAGCAGUGGGGAAUAUUGGGCAAUGGGCGCAAGCCUGACCCAGCAACGCCGCGUGAAGGAAGAAGGCUCUCGGGUUGUAAACUUCUUUUAUCAGGGACGAAGCAAGUGACGGUACCUGAUGAAUAAGCCACGGCUAACUACGUGCCAGCAGCCGCGGUAAUACGUAGGUGGCAAGCGUUAUCCGGAUUUACUGGGUGUAAAGGGCGUGUAGGCGGGAAAGCAAGUCAGAUGUGAAAACCAUGGGCCCAACCUUGGGCCUGCAUUUGAAACUGUUUGUCUUGAG
rnacentral:rRNA from 1 species